CCUUUUGCAAUCAUUUUAAGAGUCUCCAUCAUGUGUCCUACGGAGAAAGGGCACAAAAAAGCCUGCUGCAGACAAGAUGAAAGGCAGCCUUGAAGUAAUGGGGACAAAUUGGGGCAUUUACCAUUUCCCACAUAUGGAUACCUGCCAUGCUCUUGUCCUUCAAUAAACUGCAGCAGGUGCUUCUCCUGCACUUCCGCAUUUUCCCACUAGAGGGCACAGCGCUCACGAUGGAGCAGUUGAAAAUCGCAGCAGGGAGCAAAUUUGCAGAAAGCUUGAUAAGAGCCAUCUUUUCAAAACGUCGAGGCCCAAAGCUAAAACCGGCUGUUUGUAUUUCUCCACGGGCCAUGGGGACUCUCUCGAAAUGUGAACAGAUAUGUCAUGUUGACAUCUCCAGUGGUUCAUCCAGGUUGGCCUCUGUCGGAUUAACUCUGAGUGACGCAGUAGAUGGACUCCAGAAUGCCGGAAACCCUCAAAACACAAAGAGCCUCUGACACAGUUGGCACAGGGCUGGACAUAUCAGUGGGACAUGGAGGUCCCGUGCCAAGCGAUCCACACUGCAGCCUGGUGUCCUGGCAGAGGAGCCGCCCAACCACCUCCCCGGCACACAGCACAGCCCUCCACCACCACAGAGACGUGUUGCUGCAGCAGUCAACAUGGGACACAACCAACAGCCAAAGAGAAAACAGAACUGGCUGAGACUAACAGUUCUGAGCGAGGCAGAGGGCAGAUAAGGUCAAGCAGCAAUGAACACAGGCAAGGCAGCAGGACGGACCGACGGACAAACGGAGGAGGCAGACAGGCAGUGUGACUGACAGACAGACAGAUGCUAUCUCCCCUGCAUCUCAAGCUCUGGGGCCUUCUAUCAGUCGCCCACAAACAGGCUAGCACUGACGUACACACACACACACACACACACACGCGCACAUCCACACGCUCACACACAUCCACACAUACAUACUGAACAUUCUGCCUGUGCUCCUCUCUUCCUUAAGAUAAGGGCCAAUAUCAGUGACUGAACAUAUUUUAUGUAUGAAAUGCAGCUCGAGACAAGCAGUCAAGCAUUAGGUUUGUUUAAAUAGGUGAUGUUUAUCGGGUAUUCUUUUUCAAGACAGAGUUUGACAUUGUUCUGUAUCCUCUCCCCCACCCUGUCUCUCUCCUGCCUUGCCAGCCCUUCUAUUGUGCUAUUUGGUUCCCCUGCUGCUGCUUGGAGAGGCUCCAGUCUGUGCAGCUGGAUGAAUUAAUAUAGUAUUUUAAUUAUGUCUCCAGCCCUAUGGCCUGGCUUCAGAGGGCAAGUCUGGCCUUAAAACAUUCUUGGCCUGGAAUCAACUCGCCCUCUCUCUCUCUCUCUCUUUCUUUCUUUCUCUCUCUCUUCCUGCCAUUUACAAAUCUAUUUUGCAGCUGCACACGGCAACAGAUUAUGUGGCCCCGAGAUUUGACUCGUCAGAAGGAAUGACACUUUUCUCCCUCUCGCCCAGCAACCCCUCCUCUGCAGGUUGUUGUUCGCAUCAGAUAUUGGAUGACUUCCCAUUUAGUGCUCAGGCUAUGGUUGUCAGUUUUUUUUUCUUCGUUUUUUUUUUUUGCCCAAACAGUUUUGUGACGAUUGAAAUAAGAUCUUAUAAAUGCCAUGAGGCUGGCUGACACAAUAGUUUGAGUCAGACUUUUUUUCCCGCAGAUGGGAAUGGUAAUGCCUGUGUUAACGCCAGCGAGGGGAAAAUGCAGUUUAAUUCAGUGCAGUGAAGGCACCCGUGCUCAAUCUAUCAUGCUAAUGAUGAUUCAGUUAGCAGCCAGGCAAUGUUUAUGUUGCUUCUCAAUGAAACGGAGGCCGUGUAAUUAUGAUAAGGUGCAACCACCAGGGUGCCCAUACUAAUAGUAGGGGGGACUAUAGAGGUAAUGUACUUAUUUAGUGUGUUCAAAAUGUACCAAAAUAGUUGCAGUAACAAACUUAGCUG